rnacentral:rRNA from 1 species
UACGUAGGGUGCAAGCGUUGUCCGGAAUUAUUGGGCGUAAAGAGCGUGUAGGCGGCCAUGCAGGUCCGUUGUGAAAACUCGAGGCUCAACCUCGAGACGCCGGUGGAAACCGUGUGGCUAGAGUCCGGAAGAGGAGAGUGGAAUUCCUGGUGUAGCGGUGAAAUGCGCAGAUAUCAGGAAGAACACCCGUGGCGAAGGCGGCUCUCUGGGACGUGACUGACGCUGAGACGCGAAAGCGUGGGGAGCAAACAGG